rnacentral:rRNA from 1 species
UACAGAGGUCCCAAGCGUUGUUCGGAUUCACUGGGCGUAAAGGGUGCGUAGGCGGUCUGCUAAGUUUGAUGUGAAAUCCCGGGGCUCAACCCUGGAAUUGCAUUGAAUACUGGUGGACUAGAGUACUGGAGAGGAAACUGGAAUUUACGGUGUAGCAGUGAAAUGCGUAGAGAUCGUAAGGAAGACCAGUGGCGAAGGCGAGUUUCUGGACAGUAACUGACGCUGAGGCACGAAGGCCAGGGGAGCAAACGGG